AUUGAACGCUGGCGGCAGGCUUAACACAUGCAAGUCGAGCGGGGUGAUGGUGCUUGCACUAUCACUUAGCGGCGGACGGGUGAGUAAUGCUUAGGAAUCUGCCUAUUAGUGGGGGACAACAUUUCGAAAGGAAUGCUAAUACCGCAUACGUCCUACGGGAGAAAGCAGGGGAUCUUCGGACCUUGCGCUAAUAGAUGAGCCUAAGUCGGAUUAGCUAGUUGGUGGGGUAAAGGCCUACCAAGGCGACGAUCUGUAGCGGGUCUGAGAGGAUGAUCCGCCAAACGGGGACUGAGACACGGCCCAGACUCCUACGGGAGGCAGCAGUGGGGAAUAUUGGACAAUGGGCGGAAGCCUGAUCCAGCCAUGCCGCGUGUGUGAAGAAGGCCUUAUGGUUGUAAAGCACUCUAAGCGAGGAGGAGGCUACUUUAGUUAAUACCUAGAGAUAGUGGACGUUACUCGCAGAAUAAGCACCGACUAACUCUGUGCCAGCAGCCGCCGUAACAC
rnacentral:rRNA from 1 species